rnacentral:siRNA from 1 species
UAGCCAUUAUUAUUCUAGUACUA